rnacentral:rRNA from 1 species
UACGGGGGGGGCAAGCGUUGUUCGGAAUUACUGGGCGUAAAGGGCUCGUAGGCGGCCAACUAAGUCAGACGUGAAAUCCCCAGGCUCAACCUGGGAACUGCGUCUGAUACUGGAUGGCUUGAAUUCGGGAGAGGGAUGCAGAAUUCCAGGUGUAGCGGUGAAAUGCGUAGAUAUCUGGAGGAACACCGGUGGCGAAGGCGGCAUCCUGGACCGAGAUUGACGCUGAGGCGCGAAAGCCAGGGGAGCAAACGGG